AUAACAAUACAGGACUCUUUACAGGCCCUGUAAUUGGAAUGAGUCCACUUUAAAUCCUUUAACGAGGAUCUAUUGGAGGGAAAGUCUGGUGCAGAGCAACUGACCCGUGCGUGCUGCAGCUGAAACUCCGCUAUCGCCUGCUGCUGCUCGCCCAGUCUCUCCAG